GCAAGAAGAAAUAGACAAAUCCACAAUUAUACUCAGAGAUUUCAACACCUCUCCCUCAAUAAUUGGAAUAACAUCUACAGGAAAUCAGCAAGGAUAUGGUAGACUUAAAAACACUGUCAUUCAAGUUGACAUUUACAGAAUAGCCCACUCAACAACAGAAGAGUGCCCAUUCUUCUCAAGCACACAUGGAACGUUUACUAAGACAGACAACAUUCUAGGCCAUAAAAUAAGUCUCAAUAUGUUUAAAAGGAUUCAAGUCAUCUAAAAUAUUUUCUCUGACCACAUGGAGUUAAACUAGAGAUCAAUAACAGUAAGAUAAGCAGAAAAUCUCCAGAUAUUUGUAAAUUAAAUAAUUCACUUCUAAAUAAUCCAUAGACCAAAGAGGAAAUCAAACAGGAAAUUCAAAAGUAUUUUUAACUAAAUGAAAAUAAAAAUGCAAUUUAUUCAUGGGAAACCAUUAGAGUAGUACCUAGCGGAAAAUUUAUAGCAUCUAUAUUAGGAAAGAAGAAAAGCUUCAAAUUAAUGACUUCAACUUCCACUUUAAGAAACCAAGAAAAUAAGAGCAAAUUAAAUAGAAAGUAAGCAGGAAAGAAAAAAACACAGCAAAAAUUAUUGAAAAAGAAAACAAGAAAGAAUAGACAAAUAUCAAUGAAAGCAAAAGCUGGCUUUUGGGGAAGAUAAACAUUAUUGCCAAACCUCUAGACAGACUGAUGAGGGAAAAAAAGAGAGAAGACACAAAUUACCACCAGAAAUGAGAAAGGUGAUAUCACCACAAAUUUUCAGAUAUUAAAAAGAUAAUAAGGGAGUGUAAUGAACAACUUUAUGCCUAAAAAUUUGACAACUUAUUUGAAAGGACAAAUUCCUUGAAAGACGCAAAUUACUAAGUCUUACUCAAGAAGAAAUAGAUAACUUGACUAGUCCUAUAUUUACUAAAAAAUUCAAUUUGUAGUUUAAAAAUUUUCUAUGAAGAAAACUCCAGGCCCAAAUGGCUUCACUGGUGAAUUCUACCAAAAAUUUAAGGAAUGUGCUAUAACAUGAGUGAACUUUGAAAACACUAUGCUGAGUGAAAGAAGCCAGUAACAAAGGACCAUACUGUAUGAUUUCAUUUAUAUGAGGUGUCCAGAAUAGACAAAUUUAUAGAGCUGGAAAGUAGAUUAGUGGUUGUCUUGGGAUGGAGGAGAUGGGGAGAUUGGAUGAUGGCUAAGGGGUGUAGUGUUUCUUUUGGAGGUAAUGAAAGUGUUGUAAAUUUAGUGUAGUGACAGGUA
rnacentral:lncRNA from 1 species